CGGGGGGAACGCGAAGAACCUUACCUGGCCUUGACAUGCAUCUCUAAUCCGGUGAAAGCCGGUGAGUGUAGCAAUACAUAAUUUGCACAGGUGCUGCAUGGCUGUCGUCAGCUCGUGUCGUGGGAUGUUGGGUUAAGUCCCGCAACGAGCGCAACCCCUGUGAACUGUUGCCAUGGAGACGUGAGUCUCCGGCACUCUGUUCAGACUGCCCUGUUCAACGGGGAGGAAGGUGGGGACGACGUCAAGUCAGUAUGGCCCUUACGGCCAGGGCUGCACACGUACUACAAUGCCCGAAACAGAAGGAUCCGAGACCGCGAGGUGGAGGAAAUCACUAAAUUCGGGCCCAGUUCGGAUUGGAGGCUGCAACUCGCCUCCAUGAAGCCGGAAUCGCUGGUAAUGGCGCAUCAGCUACGGCGCCGUGAAUACGUUCCCGGGUCUUGUACACACCGA
rnacentral:rRNA from 1 species